AAUAGAUACCCCGGUAGUCCACGCCGUAAACGAUGAAUGCUAGGUGUCAGGGGUUAUGACACCCUUGGUGCCGAAGUUAACACAUUAAGCAUUCCGCCUGGGGAGUACGGUCGCAAGACUGAAACUCAAAGGAAUUGACGGGGACCCGCACAAGCAGUGGAGUAUGUGGUUUAAUUCGAAGCAACGCGAAGAACCUUACCAGGUCUUGACAUCCCUCUGACCGGUGCAGAGAUGCACCUUUCCUUCGGGACAGAGGUGACAGGUGGUGCAUGGUUGUCGUCAGCUCGUGUCGUGAGAUGUUGGGUUAAGUCCCGCAACGAGCGCAACCCUUGAAUUCAGUUGCCAGCACGUAGUGGUGGGCACUCUGAAUUGACUGCCGGUGACAAACCGGAGGAAGGUGGGGAUGAUGUCAAAUCAUCAUGCCCCUUAUGACCUGGGCUACACACGUACUACAAUGGCCGGUACAACGGGAAGCGAAGCGGCGACGCGGAGCGAAUCCUUAGAAGCCGGUCUCAGUUCGGAUUGCAGG
rnacentral:rRNA from 1 species